CCUUUCGGGGUGGAUUAGUGGCGAACGGGUGAGUAACACGUGGGCAAUCUGCCCUUCACUCUGGGACAAGCCCUGGAAACGGGGUCUAAUACCGGAUAACACUCUGUCCCGCAUGGGACGGGGUUAAAAGCUCCGGCGGUGAAGGAUGAGCCCGCGGCCUAUCAGCUUGUUGGUGGGGUAAUGGCCUACCAAGGCGACGACGGGUAGCCGGCCUGAGAGGGCGACCGGCCACACUGGGACUGAGACACGGCCCAGACUCCUACGGGAGGCAGCAGUGGGGAAUAUUGCACAAUGGGCGAAAGCCUGAUGCAGCGACGCCGCGUGAGGGAUGACGGCCUUCGGGUUGUAAACCUCUUUCAGCAGGGAAGAAGCGAAAGUGACGGUACCUGCAGAAGAAGCGCCGGCUAACUACGUGCCAGCAGCCGCGGUAAUACGUAGGGCGCAAGCGUUGUCCGGAAUUAUUGGGCGUAAAGAGCUCGUAGGCGGCUUGUCACGUCGGAUGUGAAAGCCCGGGGCUUAACCCCGGGUCUGCAUUCGAUACGGGCUAGCUAGAGUGUGGUAGGGGAGAUCGGAAUUCCUGGUGUAGCGGUGAAAUGCGCAGAUAUCAG
rnacentral:rRNA from 1 species